rnacentral:rRNA from 1 species
CCUACGGGGUGCAGCAGUCGAGAAUCAUUCACAAUGGGGGAAACCCUGACGCAGCAACGCCGCGUGAGUGAAGACGUAUCUCGGUAUGUAAAGCUCUAUCAGCGGGGAAGAAGGAAGACGGUACCCGACUAAGAAGCCCCGGCUAACUACGUGCCAGCAGCCGCGGUAAUACGUAGGGGGCAAGCGUUAUCCGGAUUUACUGGGUGUAAAGGGAGCGUAGACGGCGUCGCAAGUCUGAAGUGAAAGCCCGUGGCUCAACCGCGGAACCGCUUUGGAAACUGCGUGGCUGGAGUGCUGGAGAGGUAAGCGGAAUUCCUGGUGUAGCGGUGAAAUGCGUAGAUAUCAGGAGGAACACCGGUGGCGAAGGCGGCUUACUGGACAGUGACUGACGUUGAGGCUCGAAAGCGUGGGGAGCGAACAGGAUUAGAUACCCGAGUAGUC